CCUACGUGAGGCAGCAGUGGGGAAUAUUGGACAAUGGGCGAAAGCCUGAUCCAGCCAUGCCGCGUGUGUGAAGAAGGCCUUCGGGUUGUAAAGCACUUUCAGUGGGGAAGAAAGCCUUGGGGCUAAUACCCUCGAGGAAGGACAUCACCCACAGAAGAAGCACCGGCUAACUCCGUGCCAGCAGCCGCGGUAAUACGGAGGGUGCGAGCGUUAAUCGGAAUUACUGGGCGUAAAGCGCGCGUAGGCGGUCUGAUAAGCCGGUUGUGAAAGCCCCGGGCUCAACCUGGGAACGGCAUCCGGAACUGUCAGGCUAGAGUGCAGGAGAGGAAGGUAGAAUUCCCGGUGUAGCGGUGAAAUGCGUAGAGAUCGGGAGGAAUACCAGUGGCGAAGGCGGCCUUCUGGACUGACACUGACGCUGAGGUGCGAAAGCGUGGGUAGCAAACAGGAUUAGAUACCCGAGUAGU
rnacentral:rRNA from 1 species